GACGAACGCUGGCGGCGUGCUUAACACAUGCAAGUCGGACGGAAAGGCCCUGCUUUUGUGGGGUGCUCGAGUGGCGAACGGGUGAGUAACACGUGAGUAACCUGCCCUUGACUUUGGGAUAACUUCAGGAAACUGGGGCUAAUACCGGAUAGGAGCUCCUGCUGCAUGGUGGGGGUUGGAAAGUUUCGGCGGUUGGGGAUGGACUCGCGGCUUAUCAGCUUGUUGGUGGGGAAGUGGCUUACCAAGGCUUUGACGGGUAGCCGGCCUGAGAGGGUGACCGGCCACAUUGGGACUGAGAUACGGCCCAGACUCCUACGGGAGGCAGCAGUGGGGAAUAUUGCACAAUGGGCGGAAGCCUGAUGCAGCAACGACGCGUGCGGGAUGACGGCCUUCGGGUUGUAAACCGCUUUCGCCUGUGACGAAGCGUGAGUGACGGUAAUGGGUAAAGAAGCACCGGCUAACUACGUG
rnacentral:rRNA from 1 species